CGGGCGGCCGUGACCCUGCUGGAGUGCGGGGGGGACCUCCAGCCCCCCGGGGGGUCCCUGCGCGUCCUCUGCCGAGGGUCCGGGUUCAGUUUUGGCAGUUUUGACAUGGAAUGGAUCGGCCAGAGACCCGGGCAGGGGCUGGAAUUCUUUGCCUACUUCAGCAACACUGGUGGUUACACCUACUACGCGCCAUCGGUCAAGGGCCGGUUCAGGAUCUCCAGGGACAAUGGGCAGAGCUCGGUGACGCUGACCAUGAACAACCUCAAGGACGAGGAUUCCGCCGUUUAUUUCUGUGCCAAAUCUGCUUAUGCUGGUGCAGCUGCUGCUUAUAUUGACCAUGCCGGUUUUGGCAUCACCCCUGUCUGA